rnacentral:rRNA from 1 species
UACGUGGGUGGCAAGCGUUGUCCGGAUUUACUGGGCGUAAAGGAUGCGUAGGCGGACAUUUAAGUCAGCUGUGAAAUACCCGAGCUUAACUUGGGUGCUGCAUUUGAAACUGGGUGUCUAGAGUGCAGGAGAGGUAAGUGGAAUUCCUAGUGUAGCGGUGAAAUGCGUAGAGAUUAGGAAGAACACCAGUGGCGAAGGCGACUUACUGGACUGUAACUGACGCUGAGGCAUGAAAGCGUGGGGAGCAAACAGG